UACAGAGGUCCCAAGCGUUGUUCGGAUUCACUGGGCGUAAAGGGUGCGCAGGUGGGUUUGCAAGUUUGAUGUGAAAGCCCCGGGCUUAACCCGGGAAUGGCAUUGAAUACUGCAGAUCUGGAGGAUUGGAGGGGGGACCGGAAUUCUUGGUGUAGCAGUGAAACGCGUAGAUAUCAAGAGGAACACCAGUGGCGAAGGCGAGUCCCUGGACAAUUCCUGACACUGAGGCACGAAAGCUAGGGGAGCAAACAGG
rnacentral:rRNA from 1 species